CACGUAGGAGGCAAACGUUAUCCGGAUUUACUGGGCGUAAAGCGCGUGUAGGUGGUUUUGUAAGUAGGGCGUGAAAGCUCCCGGCUCAACUGGGAGAGGCCGUUCUAAACUGCAGAACUAGAGGAUGGUAGAGGGAGGUGGAAUUCCAGGUGUAGCGGUGGAAUGCGCAGAUAUCUGGAGGAACACCAGUGGCGAAAGCGGCCUCCUGGACCAUUCCUGACACUCAGACGCGAAAGCUAGGGUAGCAAACGGG
rnacentral:rRNA from 1 species